CUCAGCCUACUGCACUGUUCAGAGCUCCUUACAGCAUUUAUGUCGCUGCACAAAGAGAGACGUGGUGUCGAUCACACCGGAAGCAAAUAACCAUGUCUAACUACCUCAAGUUCAGCACGUGGAAAUUGUCGUGAACUGAGUCUCCUCAGCCUCCGUGCUGACCCUGUGAAUGCAGUGACCCAGCCCAACCAAGGGCCGCUCCAGCUGCUGAGGGUCUGGAGGAGAGCCUGCAGUCAGUCUAUGUGCAAAAUAGAGAUCCCUGCUCAGAAUGGUAUGAUGAUAAAUGCUGUCUACGCCAACUUCCAAGAACAAGGGAAGAUUUCAUCUAGACUAGUUUUAGAAAUUAAGAAACAAUAAAGAAACUGAGGAUCAGAAAUGUGGCCCUGAGAUAAAAAGUGGUGAGAUCCAGGAUAUAAAUCUAGACCCUGUAAUUCUAGAGACUUCAGCAAACCUUUAUGCCUACUGACCUUGAAACUAACCAGAAAAAGUUCUGGAUCCAACCAGUUACACUUGUGUGUUGAAGCAUAGCAUGUGUACUUAAAAAUAUGGCAAUGAUAAGAACAGGUUGAGCUUCCUAAACCAGAAAUUUGGAAGGUUCAAAAAGCUAAAGUUUUUGAGUGCUGACAUGACACCUGGAGUUUCACACAGGACCUCAUGUGAUGGGUCAGAGUCAAAACCCAGCUGCAUAACGCACAGCUUACUCGCGGGCACUCCCGUACUUCCCCACGCGAACACACCCACAAAAGGGAAUGAAUGUGUGCAGGCCACGGGCACCAGUGGCACGUUCCCCACGAUGCUAGCAAAGGGCCAAGACCUGUGUGCAUUGUCUACUGUGGCUGUUUUUUGUUUAUUUCCUGCUCUGUCUGUGAAGAUAUAUUACAAUGCUCAAAAUGCCUGCAGAUACUCUUAUGGAUAAUAGUAACAAGAAAAAGAGGAAGCAUUUACAUUUGUCUAUAGCACAGAAAGUCAAUAUUUUGGAGAAACUGGACAGUGCUGAAAGUAUGGAACAUCUUACAGAAAAGUAUAAUGUUGGAAUGAACAACAUAUAUGACCUGAAGAAACAGAAGGAUAAAUAGUUGAAAUUCUACACUGAAUGUGAUAUUCAGAAGAUAAUGAACACCGUGUAAAGGCAAAAACAAAGAUCUUAAUUAUGUAUUGAAAUAGAUGCACAGAUUGUCUAUAUGGGUGGUAGAAAUAUUGACACCUUUGCUUUCUGAUGGUUCAAUAUAUGGAAAUGUUUCAUGUAA